GGCCCCGUAGCACAACUGGAUAGUGCAGCGGUCUUCUAAACCGCAGGUUCCGCGUUCGAGUCGCGGCGGGGUCGCCA
rnacentral:tRNA from 5 species